rnacentral:piRNA from 1 species
AAAAGAAGGAAGUCUGGGUGGAGAGGC